CCUACGGGCGGCAGCAGUGAGGAAUAUUGGUCAAUGGGCGCGAGCCUGAACCAGCCAAGUCGCGUGAGGGAAGACGGUCCUAUGGAUUGUAAACCUCUUUUGUCGGGGAGCAAAAGACGCCACGCGUGGCGUUCCGAGCGUACCCGAAGAAAAGCAUCGGCUAACUCCGUGCCAGCAGCCGCGGUAAUACGGAGGAUGCGAGCGUUAUCCGGAUUUAUUGGGUUUAAAGGGUGCGCAGGCGGAAGAUCAAGACAGCGGUAAAAUUGAGAGGCUCAACCUCUUCGAGCCGUUGAAACUGGUUGUCUUGAGUGAGCGAGAAGUAGGCGGAAUGCGUGGUGUAGCGGUGAAAUGCAUAGAUAUCACGCAGAACUCCGAUUGCGAAGGCAGCAUACCGGAGCGCAACUGACGCUCAUGCACGAAAGUGUGGGUAUCGAACAGGAUUAGAUACCCCAGUAGUC
rnacentral:rRNA from 1 species